UACGUAGGGACCGAGCGUUGUCCGGAUUCAUUGGGCGUAAAGAGCUCGUAGGCGGCCACUCACGUCGCAUGUGAAACCUCGAGGCUUAACCUCGAGCCUGCAUUCGAUACUGGGCGGCUAGAGUCUGGUAGGGGGAUCUGGAAUUCCUGGUGUAGCGGUGGAAUGCGCAGAUAUCAGGAGGAACACCGGUGGCGAAGGCGGGAGCCUGGGCCAGUACUGACGCUGAGGAGCGAAAGCGUGGGGAGCAAACAGG
rnacentral:rRNA from 1 species